GUUUGAUUUCCCUUAGAUGCUCUGCUGAAAAGGCCAAAGGUAUGUCCGUGCCAACCUGAGACCUGCGCUGGUGUGUAUUUAGAUGUCUCUCUGUUUUCAAGAAUUGUACUAACUAUGGCAGAACGACCAGAAAUAAGAGAUACAGUUCCAUUCCCCACUCACAUGGUCUCAUGGUCCCAUUAAGUGAAAGCUAGCAGACAACAGGGAAGCAACUCCAAAUAAAAAGAAAGUUCUGACAACUGAAACCUGAGUCCUUGGAGGAGCACUGAUGGCAUGUUUAAUCAUAACUGGAAUCUUUGGAAAACUUUUCUUUCAUCUAAGGAGACAAUCUCUCUCUCUUUUUUUUUUUUUUUCUGCCAGCACAGCAGACUAUGACAUAUUUUCACAACUUGGAAAUAGCUUAAUGAUCUGCUGAUUCCUCUGUAAUGUCUUCCAGAAUUCAGUCUAAAUUAUCAUGAGAGAGAAUCACAAGAAUAUCUAAUUGAGCCUUGUUUUGCAGAAACUUAUGGUUUUUAUUUUCAUAGUUGAAGGUGUCAGAGAACUGUUUCAAUAUUUUGUUUACUUUCUGACCUGCGUAGUUUACUAAGAAUAGCUGAAAUAUAAACAGUGUAAUUUAUACUACACACUAUAAACAGUGUAAUUUAAUAAUAAUCAUACGGUGAUUUUUGUUUAACCUAUGAAAAAGUACUCCAAACAUAACCAUCAUCUGACAGUUUUCACUUUUGUCUUGAACAAAAAAAGGUUUCCAUGCAAUAGCACAGGAUUUUUCCACUCUGUGAGAAAGCACUGAUCCUUUCUAUCUUGCUACUUCAUAAGUCUACAGCCAACAAAGGUAGUCCAGUCUGACGUGAUUAAAACUAAAUUGACUUGAAUGUAUUUAUAGCCCAGUACCUGGGCCAGAGCACCAAACAUCCCCACCAAACACACGCAGUACCCACCCACCACAGCUUCCCUGGCUGUAACCAGGUAGGCGGGUAAUUAUGCUGAAAUAGAGACAUCUGACCGGAUGCGAGCGUAGACUAUCCUUCCAAAAAAAAACCUUCCCAUAUUGAAGAUUGAAUAAUGCAAAACAAUUCCAAACCCCCAAAUUCACAAGAGUUUCUCUAGCUGAUUCUCUUAUAAUCCAUAUGCUGGAAGAUCUAAAAGUGUAACUGUUACUGUUGUGAAAUCUUUUCAAAAGAGAACUUGAAUUCCUAUGGCACUUCAAGUUUAUAGGCUUUUUAAUGAUAGAAGGGCUGCCUUGUUAAAGAGAAGAGGCUUUGCUUGGAAAUGCAUAAUCACAAAGGUAUUAAAAUAAGUAUCAAAUCUCUUGAUGGGCCUAAACUGAAAAUACAAACCCGGGAGGUACAAAAAACUUCUUUUGAGGUCUUCGUUGUUUGGAAACAUUCUGCUCUCAAAGCUGUGCAGUGCAAAUUACAUAUGAGGCUUUGUGGGCAGAUCUUAGCUGUUUAUUUUUAUACACUGCUAAAUAUGAAUGCUCAAGCAUUAGUAAAUCUACUUGCAAAUGCAUUUUGGAAAUAGUCUUUUUUUUUUUUUUUUCCUGUAACUCCAUGUAGAAAGAAUUCCCAGAGACAAAUAGUUGUCAGUGAAAAACACCUGUGAUUUGUUAGGAUUUGAAACUGGAAAGUGCUUAAAUUAUUCACCUUGAUUAGAAAGUAUGUCAGCAAACAGAUCAAGCUUUUUAUAACCUCAGGAACAAAUCUGGUUUAUUUCACGUACAGUUGGCAGUUUACAGGAGACUGUCUGCACACUUCAGCAACUGCCUUGGCAUUUGGUACAGGCUUUGCUUCAGACUAGGGGAGAGAACUGAAUUACUCUGCCGCAAGAAUCAACUUACACUUCCCUCUUCCACUGACUUCAGCGACAGUGUCAUGUACAGACCAAUACUGAACCAGAUACAGAUACUCAUUUUCCAGGCACGAGUAACCAGAAUGAAGUUUCAUUCAUUUUGGACUUAAGCCAGUAGAAAAUAGCCUCUACAGUUGUUCACCCACUGAAUCCUCAAAGACCUUCUGGCUUGGAGGGCAAUGGUACUAAGCCAAAGUGUGUGAUUCUAACUUGCCUGAUUACCUCGAAUGGCAGCUCAUGAGAAUGACGAUGGUCAUCAGGUAUGGCAGAAGGGGACUGCCGGCAAGCCUAUGCACUAAAGCAUGAAUGAGAGAAGGAGACUCUUCCUUGAAUGACCAGAUGAGAGUCAGCUGAGUCAUGAGAGAAGUCUAAGCCACAGAAGUCCAUUCUCCUUGCUCAAAAGAAAAAAGUAAAAUAAAAAAGCCAUACUCCUGUCAUAGAAGACUGGUCCCAGCACGCAGUCCAUCAGAGACAAAAGCUCUACAACACCCUCUGUAAUUAAUACUGUUGCUGCAGGUUGAUCUGUCAGCCACAGACUAUAUACUCCACCAUGGUGAGAAGCAGCAGCAAAGCAAACUUCACCUGUUCCACUGAAGACGUUACCAAUAAGCAGCAGUUGUGAAAAACAGUGGCUGCCUACAAGGAUUCUGCCCAGCAAUUUGUUUAAUUGCCUGCUGAGAAGAUGAAAUUAUUUUGCUUGGCUUCUGUGAGUCACAGAGCCAAUCCCUACCAUCUUCUGGAGCUCACAUGGCUAGAUGACUAUGUCCUGAUCCUGUAAUCAAAUCUAUAAAGGAAGAAAAAAAUGACCUGUCCUCAGGAUCAAGGAAGAUCAAGGCUAUAGUAUAAGGGUGAGGCAGACCCGAGAGUGCUUAUUAAAGGAAGCGCUGGCAAUGAUGCCUCCUAUUGAGGUCAUCUUAGGUUUUCUCUUACAUGCCUAACAUUAAAAUGAUGAAAUACU